rnacentral:rRNA from 1 species
CUACGGGGGGCAGCAGCUAAGAAUCUUCCGCAAUGGACGAAAGUCUGACGGAGCGACGCCGCGUGAACGAUGAAGGCCGUGAGGUUGUAAAGUUCUUUUCUUGGGGAGGAAUAAUGUUGAGAGGGAAUGCUCGACAGAUGACGUUAACCAAGGAAUAAGCCCCGGCUAAUUACGUGCCAGCAGCCGCGGUAACACGUAAGGGGCAAGCGUUGUUCGGAAUCAUUGGGCGUAAAGGGCACGCAGGCGGCAAUGCAAGUCUGAUGUGAAAGGCCACGGCUUAACCGUGGAAGCGCAUUGGAAACUGUUUUGCUAGAGUGGUUUAGGGGAGACUGGAAUUCCUAGUGUAGGGGUGAAAUCUGUAGAUAUUAGGAAGAACACCGGUGGCGAAGGCGAGUCUCUGGGAACCAACUGACGCUGAGGUGCGAAAGCGUGGGGAGCGAACAGGAUUAGAUACCCCGGUAGUC